GACGAACGCUGGCGGCGUGCUUAACACAUGCAAGUCGAACGGAAAGGCCCUGCUUUUGUGGGGUGCUCGAGUGGCGAACGGGUGAGUAACACGUGAGUAACCUGCCCUUGACUUUGGGAUAACUUCAGGAAACUGGGGCUAAUACCGGAUAGGAGCUCCUGCUGCAUGGUGGGGGUUGGAAAGUUUCGGCGGUUGGGGAUGGACUCGCGGCUUAUCAGCUUGUUGGUGGGGUAGUGGCUUACCAAGGCUUUGACGGGUAGCCGGCAUGAGAGGGUGACCGGCCACAUUGGUACUGAGGAACGGCCCAGACUCCUACGGGAGGCAGCAGUGGGGAAUAUUGCACAAUGGGCGGAAGCCUGAUGCAGCAACGCCGCGUGCGGGAUGACGGCCUUCGGGUUGUAAACCGCUUUCGCCUGUGACGAAGCGUGAGUGACGGUAAUGGGUAAAGAAGCACCGGCUAACUACGUG
rnacentral:rRNA from 1 species